GGCUACAGCUCAGAAGAAACAAAAGUGAUGGGUAAUAUAAAAAUCUGGAUCAAUAUUCUAAUUCUGGGCAAUUAUCCUUCUCAUCCUGCCAGGUGAUGGGGGUAAAGGGAGUGCCCAUACCCAGAGGAUUUUUUUUUUCUUGGAAAAUAAGACCAAGGUAGCUAACCAAAGCCAAGCUCCAUGCACCCAAGUCUUAGCAGGUAUAACUAUAGUCACUAGUUAUCUGGGCAUUCUGGCAGCCUUAGGAUUUUCGGGCUGUCCUUACCUGCUUGUUCCCUUUGAUCCAUGUUGUCUAAUAACUGGUUUGUCUCUUCUCACCUCCAGGCCAUCAAACUUCAAACAGUAAUGCAAAUGGAGCCUCAGACAAAAGUUUCCUUUGACUGAGAACCCUCAGAUAAGCCUCUGAGAUAUCUGAAUGUCAUAUCCCCAAAACAAUGGCCCCUGUGAGCAUGAAACAGUUAAGUGUUGUCAUAAUUCCUGCCCCAAUGGCAGUUAGAUAUACCUCUUCAGAGGGGCAACUGAUAGCAGCAGGAGGCAGACACUUCCCUAUGUAGAUAGGGAUGGGUCCCCAGUGAAACCCCAUCUUCCAGCCAAAAACAGAUUGAAGCCCUCAAGAUUGGACUGCAGGUUCCAGAUGAAGCUUGCGACCCACAUGAUUCCAUGAAAUGGUGAACAGAACCAGAAAGCCUCAGGGCUCACCUGGGAGUAUAAUAAACGUGGCAAGAAGAGACGGAUGUAUUUUAGGAACAGUCAUGGUAUUUGUAAAGAAUAUAGUUUUGUAAGAAUUUAGCUGAAAAUGCUUUACGAGUUGGUAAGUUGCCAGUUUUAAGAACAAUUUGGACAAAAAUGUUGGAGCCCUGUCCACAGUAGACACCCAGUGAACACAUUUUAUGUAAACCUCCUCUAUCCCUUCUCCUUUUGCAGUUCAUCUUAAAAAAUAGAUUAUUUUAAUAAAUAGCUGAUGAGUUUUGCAUCU